AUUGAACGCUGGCGGCAGGCCUAACACAUGCAAGUCGAACGAGUGGCGGACGGGUGAGUAAUGUCUGGGAAACUGCCCGAUGGCGGGGGAUAACUACUGGAAACGGUAGCUAAUACCGCAUACCAUCGGAUGUGCCCAGAUGGGAUUAGCUAGUAGGUGGGGUAAAGGCUCACCUAGGCUACGAUCCCUAGCUGGUCUGAGAGGAUGACCAGCCACACUGGGACUGAGACACGGUCCAGACUCCUACGGGAGGCAGCAGUGGGGAAUCUUGCACAAUGGGGGCAAGCCUGAUGCAGCCAUGCCGCUUGUAUGAAGAAGGCCUUAGGGUUGUAAAGUACUUUUAGCAGGGAGGCGUUACUCGCAGAAGAAGCACCGGCUAACUACGUGCCAGCAGCCGCGGUAAUUC
rnacentral:rRNA from 1 species